CCUACGGGAGGCUGCAGUGGGGGGUAUUGCACAAUGGGCGGAAGCCUGAUGCAGCGACGUCGCGUGAGGGAUGGAGGCCUUCGGGUUGUGAACCUCUGUUUCCGGUGGUGAAGGCCCUGUCCGUGUGGUGGGGUUGACGGUAGCCGGGGAUGAAGCGCCGGCUAACUACGUGCCAGCAGCCGCGGUAAUACGUAGGGCGCGGGCGUUGUCCGGAAUUAUUGGGCGUAAAGGGCUUGUAGGCGGCUGGUCGCGUCUGCCGUGGAAUUCUCCGGCUCACCCGGGGGCUUGCGGUGGGUACGGGCCGGCUGGAGUGCGGUAGGGGAGGCUGGAACUCCUGGUGUAGCGGUGGAAUGCGCAGAUAUCAGGAGGAACACCGGUGGCGAAGGCGGGUCUCUGGGCCGUUACUGACGCUGAGGAGCGAAAGCGUGGGGAGCGAACAGGAUUAGAUACCCGAGUAGUC
rnacentral:rRNA from 1 species